rnacentral:lncRNA from 1 species
UUCAGCAUUAGCGUGGAUGAAAAGAUGAUGAAAACAUGUUCGAAAACAUGUUUGGAGAGUCUCGGUUCGAUUUGAAAAGAAACGGAGGUCAGACGAGCGAAAACGAGCGAAAACGGAGUGAAAAAAAGGAUAAAGGCUGAAAAUGCUGAAAAAUUGACUAAGUCUGGAAUUCUGGCCUUUCGGGGACCGGUCUCUCACUGCCUGGGAC